UUUUCUUUAUCGCCGGAUAAGGAAAUUAUAAAAGCGUUCGGAUUUCAUACUGUAGGCCUUUGAAGGUAUGAAAUAUCCGGACGCUUUUUAUUU
rnacentral:ncRNA from 1 species